UUUCUUACCUGUCAGGGGAGACACCGUGAUCAUGUAGGUGGUUUUCCCAGGGUGAGGCUCGGCCAUUGAACUCUGGCUGUGCUGACCCCUGCGAUAUCUCCAAAUGUGGGAAACUCAACUGCAUAAUUUGUGGUAGUGGGGGACUGCGUUCAUACUCUAA